AAACAACAACAGUCACCAUAAAUCAAACCCGGCUGAAACAACUGGACCCAACCCACAACCAAACCCACCCCACCUAUAAACUCUAGGAGAAAAGGGAAGAACACAACAAACAUGUUGCCGCUGCGAAAAUCCUCUCGUUGAAGAUCAACCAAAUACAAAAGGCAAUAUAUACAAAUGAACCCAAUUAAGGGAGGGCCAACCCUCAGAGCUAGGCCAGAGAACCAAAAGGUAAAGCCCUCCCCUGCCCAGAGGCAGGGGAAGCCAACAGGAAGUAAGCUCGACGAACCUGAGAGACCAAGGACGAGAAACACCCAAAUGAUAGAACUCUCUCUCUUAGAGAGUGAUGUCCCGCACAUUGGGGGUUCACUCAAUGACUCGAUCAUAUUAUUAACACAUUGGCA
rnacentral:misc_RNA from 1 species